GUGGAGCUUCUCUAGAUACAGGCAGUUUAUGAAAUCCUGGUGAUGGUGAUGAUGAUAAUGAUGGAAGAAACCGGUGUGUUUAGUUCAGAAAAAGGAAAAUCAAGGGCUUCCAUGAAGGUCUUCUGGCAUGUUGAGGGCUGCCACUGAAGAGGGGGGAAGACUGGAAAAUCAUAUCCUAGAAAAUGCGAGUCGAUGAAAUGCUGGACCUACCAAAAUCAAUAAUGAAAAGUUCUCUGAUCUCUUCAAGACCCAAAAUUUCAACAGUGCUUCUAUCACAUGCAAUUGGAUAAACACCAUGACAAAGUAGGCUAUCUGUGCCUGCAGUCUUGAAACCU